rnacentral:rRNA from 1 species
GAUGAACGCUGGCGGCGUGCCUAAUACAUGCAAGUCGAGCGAACGGACGAGAAGCUUGCUUCUCUGAUGUUAGCGGCGGACGGGUGAGUAACACGUGGAUAACCUACCUAUAAGACUGGGAUAACUUCGGGAAACCGGAGCUAAUACCGGAUGAUAUUUUGAACCGCAUGGUUCAAAAGUGAAAGACGGUCUUGCUGUCACUUAUAGAUGGACCCGCGCUGCAUUAGCUAGUUGGUAAGGUAACGGCUUACCAAGGCAUCGAUGCAUAGCCGACCUGAGAGGGUGAGCGGCCACACUGGAACUGAGGCACGGUCCAGACUCCUACGGGAGGCAGCAGUAGGGAAUCUUACACAAUGGGCGAAAGCCUGACAGAGCAACGCCGCGGGAGUGAUGAAGGUCUUCGGAUCGUAAAACUCUGUUAUUAGGGAAGAACAUAUGUGUAAGUAACUGUGCACAGCUUGACGGUACCUAAUCAGAAAGCCACGGCUAACUACGUG